GACGAACGCUGGCGGCGUGCCUAACACAUGCAAGUCGAACGGGGUAAUCCUUCGGGGUUACUUAGUGGCGAACGGGUGAGUAACGCGUGAGAAACCUGCCUUUCAGUGGGGGACAACAGUUGGAAACGACUGCUAAUACCGCAUAAUGUUAUUUGGGGGCAUCCCUGGAUAACCAAAGAUUUAUUGCUGAAAGAUGGUCUCGCGUCUGAUUAGCUAGAUGGCGGGGUAACGGCCCACCAUGGCGACGAUCAGUAGCCGGUCGGAGAGGAUGAACGGCCACAGUGGGACUGAGAUACGGCCCAGACUCGUACGGGAGGCAGCAGUGGGGAAUAUUGGGCAAUGGGCGAAAGCCUGACCCAGCAACGCCGCGUGAAGGAAGAAGGCCUUCGGGUUGUAAACUUCUUUUACCAGGGACGAAGAACGUGACGGUACCUGGAGAAAAAGCAACGGCUAACUACGUGCCAGCCGCCGCCGUAAGA
rnacentral:rRNA from 1 species